GACGAACGCUGGCGGCGUGCUUAACACAUGCAAGUCGAACGAAGUGGCGAACGGGUGAGUAACGCGUAAUCAACCUGCCCUUCAGAGGGGGACAACAGUUGGAAACGACUGCUAAUACCGCAUACUGAAGGAGGGGAUUGCGUCUGAUUAGCUAGUUGGAGGGGGAACGGCCCACCAAGGCGAUGAUCAGUAGCCGGCCUGGGAUGGUGAUCGGCCACAAAGGGACUGGGACACGGCCCUUACUCCUACGGGAGGCAGCAGUGGGGAAUCUUGGACAAUGUACCAAGGUCUGAUCCAGCAAUUCUGUGUGCACGAUGAAGUUUUUCGGAAUGUAAAGUGCUUUCAGUUGAGAAGCGGUACCAACAGAAGAAGUGACGGCUAACUACGUGCCAGCAGCCGCGGUAAUAC
rnacentral:rRNA from 1 species